AUAUUUCAAAGAGCAUUUACUUUAAAGCUUGUUUUCUCUCUUUUGAAUUUCUAUGUCUUCGAUGGCUUCUGCAUAACACCAUUCAACUUUACUUAUAUCUUGUCUUCUUGCUGUGAAUAACUUUACAUUUGCACGAUCAUGGCACAGAAUAAAUAAGGGAUAUCAGAAGCGAACUCCACUGGCCAAUCACGAACUCGACCACGUAGACGGCCGCCAUGUUCUGCGUUUCCAACGUAUUCGUGUUCUUAGUGUAUAUGAGCGACAGAUUGUUUUGGAAUAAUAUUUUGGUGAUUUUGUGCAAUCGGAUUUACUACUCAGAUUCGUAGGCAAGUAAAUUUGUCUGCAAGAAUUUCCUUUCAAAUUUUUUUAAUGACUUGAUUCUUGGAAGAAUGGAAAAACGUAAAAAGCCUUGCGGGACAACGCACUGUUCAGCAUUUAAUUGUUCGAACAACCGGAGGCAAGCUAAGAAAAUAAGUUUUUUUCUCAUUCCCUUUGCACCCAGUACGAUGCAAGAAAUGGGUGAUUGCUUGCAGACGAGCAGAUUUGCUCAACAAACCCCCUGAGUAUCUGCAUAAGAAUUGUACAAUAUGCACUGAUCACUUUGAAGACUGUAUGUUUUUGAAUGAUAUGAAGAACAGACUUCACAGUCAUGCUGUUCCGGCAAAAUUUGAUGUUCCAAACCCACCUCCACUUAUUCAAUCCCAGAGAAAGUUGCCAAAGAAGCGAGUAUCUGUGGGCAGCAAAACAUCUUCAGUUCAAAGUGAUAUGCCUGUUGAGCACAGUGAUUCCCAUUUCGCUGGGACCACUACUCCAGUGCCAUCAUCCCAACUAGUGAGCUCACCCAGACAGACACCAUCCAGGCCAAUAUAUUCACCCAGGAAGGCGGCAUUGCAGAAACUGGCUUCCAAAUAGAGAUGCAGGACAGCGCGAUUGAAGAAGCUUCAUGAAAACUGCCGAAAGGUGUCAUCAGUUUGUUCUUGCCAGUCAUUACCACAUAAAUUUAAGAAAUUCAUGGAGUUGUUCAAAACACAGAAUAAUUCCCGGUAUUCUGAACCUUUGAAAAGUUUUGCACUGUCUGUCCAUUUUUUAAGUCCAAAAACAUAUAAGUAUUUGUGAACUCAUUUGCCGCUUCCAACGCCAAGGCUUUUACAAAAAUUGCUAUCAAAAGUUUCUGUUGGAGAAGGGUCUACGGAUUAGGUAACAAGUGUUUUGAAGGUAAAAGCAAGCGAACUGAGUCCAAGGAACAAUAACUGUGUUGUGUGUGUAGAUUAAAUGGCACUGAAGCUGCAUUUUCUCUACAAUCCGGUUAAAGAUGAAGUUUUAGGAUUUGCUAGGACCAGUACAGUAGGCAAACCAGAAUUAGCUACAUCUACGCUUGUUUUCAUGGCGAAGGGUUUGUUUCAAAAUUGGAAACAGCCCUUAACCUAUAACUUUGUUGCAGAUUCAUGCCCCGCUGAAAAAGUAAAGGAAAUUCUGUUUUCUUUAAUCCAGAAGUUAAAGGAAGUUGGUCUGAUUGUCAGGGCAGUGAUUUCUGAUAUGGGGGUCUAACUUUUUGGAAAUGUCUAAAUUACUGUCCGUGACACCAGAAAAACCAUAUUUGGAACUGGACGAUCUGAAAAUAUUUUAUUGUUUUGACACAUCUCAUUUAGAAAAGUCAUUAAGAAACAACCUUAUGAAACACACAUUUCAUUUUGAUGGUAAAGUAGCACGUUGGAAAGACAUAGAGACAAUGUAUUUGCAGGAUAAGACACGUUCCAACAGACUGGAAAGUAAACUCACUGACAACCACAUUUAUUUGAAUGG